ensembl:miRNA Mir181c microRNA 181c
CCAAGAGUUUCGGGGAACAUUCAACCUGUCGGUGAGUUUGGGCAGUUCAGACAAACCACCGACCGUUGAGUGUACCCGGAGACUUGGA